UAUGCAAUUGUAAUCAUUCAAAAUCAUCAAUACAAAAGAUUUCAUUUCUCUCUCUUGCUUUUCUCUUCUCUGUAAAACUUCAUUUCUUGGCUUUACAAUUGUUCAUCUUUGCUUCUUCUCCAAUGUAGUUAACAUGGUAUCAGAGCCACCAGGCUUACGCCAUAGAUUCUGGUGGUUCUGUUUUUCAUUAGAUUUCGUCAUUUUCAUCGUUUUUAAUUCAUUAGGUUUUCUCUUCAAAUUUUCUUGAAAUUUCCGUCAAGUUCUUAGGUGCUUCCACUCUCCAGCAGAUGAGCAAUGCGACGAAAAGGUCCUGCUCCAACGAGAUCACUCACGCUCUGCUCCAAUCCAUUGUUCAAUUCAAGCUCAUCCGCGACAUGCAGUCCAAUAUCAAGAAGAUCGUCUCUGGGUUCUCAUGCUGCUGCAAUCUGUCACUGCAUUGGUGCACUUAUAGCCUUAUAUUGCUUCUGGUCAUCAAUUUAUGGAGCGUUCUUUAGAAGAUCCUUGGUGCCACCAGCGUGUUCCAGUCGGCUCUGUUUCUUGAAGGGGUCCAUAUUCUCGGGAAGUAGAAAUUGCCACCCAGAAAACGGUUUCGAUCUUCGAGGCUUGUUUUUUCGUUGUGCUUGUAUCUGCUCAUUGGUGAUUUGCUGAGUUUUCUUCGAUAGGGUUUUCCGAUAAAAAAACUCAAGUUUCAGCCAUGGAGAAUUAAUUGAUGAUGGGAGCAGAGGAUUAAUUGAUAAUGCAGAUGCAUGAAGACACCUUUAAACACCAAGAAUAGAGGAUUAAUUGAUGAUGGGAGCAGGGUUAGGAGUACAUGGACAAGAAGGAUUUCAUUGUUCUGCAUUUCUCAAGCAUUGUUACAAUCUAAAGCUUGGAAAUCCCAGCUUAGAUUGAGGGGGGAUGUUGAAUGAAGUGCCAUGUCAACAUGGUUGUUAGACUGAUUUGUUAGAAGUCGGUUAUAUAGUUAGAUUAGUAGCGUAGCUGCUAAGUCUUGAUAGAGUAUAUAUAACAGUCUUAGCUAUGCAAUUGUAAUCAUUCAGAAUCAUCAAUACAAAAGAUUUCAUUUCUCUCU